CAGAGUGAUGAGGUCCUCACCGUCAUCAAGGCCAAAGCUCAGUGGCCAGCCUGGCAGCCUCUCAACGUGUAAGUAGCACACAGACCCUGGCCAUUUCUCAUACUCGGAGCCACCCACCGGCUGGCCACCACAUGAGUUAUGUCAUUAAAGUCAGCAGUACCUCUCAGGUGCAUGAGCAGGUGAGGUACACUGCCCACGUGUGGGCCUAUCACACUUACCCGUAUCUUCUCAGGAAUACGGGCCUGGUCUUUGUCUCCCCCGAUGGCUCUAAUACCACAGAACCGGACAUAACAGUUGCCAUUACGUGUUCACUCAUGUUCUCGGCCACGACCGACUGAAACCACCUUCGCACACAGGUACACUCACUCUAGGCAGGUCUUACUCGUGGAAGACUAGAUUGGCCCCAGUUUAUCUCUUUCCUGUCUACUCUAUCCCUUUAAGAUUUCAUCCUCCCUUGUAUUUUGAUGACCUAGGGUAUGCCGAUGGCUCCCUGAAGGACUACUCCGCCAGGCAGAUAUGUAGGUAGGUAGGCAGGUAGGUAGGAAGAUAGGUAGGUGAGUAAGUAAUCAUCCAUCCAUCAGUUUCUUGGACACCUCUCUGUAGAUGGCAUAUGUGGACCUUGAAAUCAUCAUAUCAAAAAAACAAAACCAAAUCCUAUUGUGUUAUCCUCUCCUUAGAAUCCGUCCAUGACCUCCUUUGGUCUCCAGGAUCACCUAGAGAGGCCCCAGUGAGCCGAACAUGCCCCAGCUCCUGCUUCCUUUUCCUUAGGGCUCAUGUCUUGCCUCUCUCUACUCUGCACCUCUCUCUGGCCAUGCCGAGUCCUGUGCAGUUCCUUGAACGAGCUUUGGUUUCACUCCUCCUUCAAGGAUGCAAGACUUGGAGCAAAGUUCCUGCCAACUGCAUGAAAAUGGUUUAUGAAGAAUGGCUUGGCCAUUCUCUGGAGUCGUCUAUACCCACCGAUGAUGGUGGUGAUGGAGAGCGCAACGACACAGGCAGUGGGUGAGAUUCUGCUCGGUGGGAGCAAAGGCAAAGUCAAGAUGAUGGGUAGAGAAGCACAGGAUGGGGUAGCAGGAGCGGAGAGAGGAGUGCUCCCACACAACCAGCGGGGAGCAGGGAAGCUGCUGCCAGGCAUCUGGUGCCCACCUGUUUAACCAUUCAGCAAAUUAACCGUUCCUCCUCCACCCACGACGUGCCAGCCCUGUACACCCAGUCCCCAGCCUUUGGAACCCACAGCCAUUGGGGGUGGGGGGAUGGACAAUAAAGAGAGGUCUCCCACCCCAGAGCUGCCCUUUGCACACCUUCGGGUGACACCAUACACCAUGGUGGCCGUGCACACUCCAUGGGGAUAAAUGUUAUGAUGAGGUCAUAAGUGGUUCUGGAAGCCUAGAGAAGGGGCACAACCCAGCCGAGGAUUGAGGAGGGGUCAUGAAGGGCCUUGUUCAGAAGGUAUCAUACAGGGCUGAGUCUGGAAGGAGGCUCCUUGCCCUGGAUUGGCCCAGGUCUGGGCAGAACUGAGGCCCUAAGUGGCGACCUGAGGAAAGAGAGACAGGCCCACACCUGGACAACUGACCAAGGGCAGCCGAACUGGCUGCGUAGAGGCCUUUCCUGGCUUGCUGUGACCUCCUCUGAGGAAGCUGGGGCCAGAGUGGUUGGAAACCUGCCCAGCCCUGGAAAUGCCUUCCCCUCCAAGGAGAAGCAGCAGAGGCAGGGUCUACUGCCCCCGGCUCUCCCCUGGUAGGGGGGCAUUUGCCUGUCUCAGGCCUGUCCCACCAAAAAACACCGAUGUGAAUUCACCGAGGCCCUGAGGCCCCUUCACAUCAUUAACAUCAGUCAGAAAAAAACACCCACCGUGAAUCUUGUGCGCUCAGGCUCUCCUCAGCUGCCCCCAGCUCCCAAAACUGCAUGUGGACGAGUCCUCACCUUGGGCUCAAAACCAGGCAGGGGCUGGGGGCAUCUGGGCCAGAGUUUGCAGAUGCCAGUGUUGAUACCACUAGGGAAACCUGAUCCCAGUUUUCCCUUAAGGAGCCCAGGGUUUGGGAAGGUGUAAAUGGCAAAGCAGGGUGCUUCUGGAAGGAGAGCGGAAAGGAGGAAGAAAAAGCAGGGAGCAGAGAGCUGUCCUCUUGUCUCUAGCGCCUACUAUGUGCCAGGUACCCUGCCAGGACUUAUGUUCCUCAUCCCACUCCAUCCUCAUACUAACCCCAUGAGGUAGGGGUCUGGAGCCUCACUUUGCAGAUGAGACAGAGGCUCAGACCUCAGCAGCCAGCUCCACUGGCGGAGGAACUAGAAUUCCAACCCUCCCCAGCUGCCUCCACUCCCUGUGCCCUUACUUAUUACAAGGCCCCUCCAACUACGUAACAAGUCAUUCAGUGUCCGUCUUUUCACCAAUCAAGACAUAUAUAUAUCUGCCAGUCAGACUUCGGACCAGCAUGAAAUUCACACUGUGACCACAACCAAAUUGUCUGACUCCUGCCCCAGAACAAAACAAAACCGUGACUUUCACUUACCUUGUGUCCUUCCGUUAAGGAUGACUGAAACAUUUCAUUGCCUCAACAAACAUUUAUGGCCGGUCUCUAAAGGGAAGUACUGUCAAAGAUACUUAGGAAUACAGUGCUGAGCAGAGCAGAGUUUCUCAUGAACUCACAGUUUAGUGAGGGAGAGACAUUAACCAAAUGCUGACAAAUGUGACAUGUCUGUGAAGAUAUAAGGUGCCAUGAGAGAGCGUGACGGGGACACUGACCCAACCUGAAGGUCAGAGAAAGCUUCCUUUAAGGGAUGGCCAUUGAGCUAAGAGUUAAGGAACAAAUAGGAGCUGACUAGGUAAAGAGGCAAAGAAAGGGGAGAACAUUCUAGAAAGUCUAGAGAGACUAUCAUGUGUAAAGACCCUGAGGAGGGUUCAGCAUACUUAAGGUGCUAAACAGUUGUGGUAUAACUAGGUCCAGAAAUCACAGGCGAACUUGGUGUGGGGCCAAGGCACACAUUAGGGAUUUAGAUUUUUCCAUUAAAAGUAAUGGGAAAUCUUUGAAGGGUUUUAAGCAGGAUGACAACAUGAUCAAAUCUGCAUUCAAAAGAAAACAAAACAGGGGCGCCUGGGUGGCUCAGUCGGUUAAGCGUCCGACUUCAGCUCAGGUCAUGAUCUCUCGGUCUGCAAGUUCGAGCCCCGCGUCAGGCUCUGGGCUGAUGGCUCAGAGCCUGAAGCCUGCUUCCGAUUCUGUGUCUCCCUCUCUCUCUGCCCCUCCCCCGUUCAUGCUGUGUCUCUCUCUGUCUCAAAAAUAAAUAAACGUUAAAAAAAAAUUUUUUUUUAAAAAGAAAACAAAACAGGGGUGUCUGGGUGGCUCAGUAUUUUGUCCAACUUUUGAUUUCCGCUCAGGUCAUGAUCUCGCAGUUUGUGAGUUCGAGCCCUAUGUCGGGCUCUGCACUGACAGCUCAGAGGCUGUUUGGGAUUCUCUCUCUCUCUCUCUCUCUCUCUCUCUCUCUCUUUCUGCCCUUCCCCCACAUGAGCUCACUCUCUCUCCAAAACAAGUAAAUAAACUUAAAAAAAAAAAAAACAACAGUAACAAAACUCUGGCUCCAAUACGAGAAGGUUAAGAGUAGUGAGGGGAGAAUUCACAGUGACCUUGACAAGGAUGGUGGUGGUAGAGAUGGAGAGAGGUACGGCGGUUGUAGAGAGGUGUAGGAGCAGAAUCCCACAGGCUGCAGUGAUAAGUUCAAUAAGGAGAGUGAGGGAAGCAGAGACACCUGGAUGAAUGGGUUGGUGGGGCCACCUAUUAGGUUCAGAAUAGUAAAUGAAGUUCAGUGGGAAAGACCAUGAGCUCAGUUCUGGAUGUGAUACGUUGGAGAUGCACGUUGGAGGACAUACCUGCAAAGGAAGGAAACAGAAAAGGAGUAGCAAACAGACUGGGGAAGGAAGCUUGGCAUCAGGGAAGCCAAGAGAAGAAAGUGCUCCAGGAGAGAGUGGUCAGCUGUGUCCAGUGCACCUGAGAGAUCAAGUAAGAUUAGGGCUGCACCAUGCCUAUUGGGUUGACCAACAUGAAGAAAAUCAGUGACUUUACUGAGAAUCCUUUCCACUGAGCAAUGGCGGGCAGCCUCCAGGGGGGUGAAAUGUGAACAGAAAGUGAGGUUAUAGAGUCAGCGAAUACAGACAAGUCUUCUGAGUUCGCUGUGAAAGAAGAGUGGCUGGAACAGCUACUGCUCCAAGGAGUAACAGAGUCAAUGAUGUUUUUUGUCUUCUUCUUUUUUAAGAUGGGGAAGACUUUUCUGUAAAUUUGAAAUAUAUAUAUAUAUUUAGGGACACCUUCCCAGCUUUCCCCCGUCCCUCAGACUUCAUGAGACCCCAGUGGAACAGAAUUAACCAAUGGCAAACACCCAGACCUCCCAAACACCCAAACCCUCUCUGCUCAGUGCUACCAGCUCGUUAGGGGAAAGGAAUUUUCCUUUGAUUUUCCCAUACCCCAGUCUCCCCUUCCCUCUUCCAAAUCUCAUUAGGAAGUCAAAUUAGGAAGCCUCCACGCAGCCAAGUUUUGUUUUGCAGAAACAACCCUGCCUCUCCUCACUGAGCCUGCCCGAUUGAGGUUAAUGGGAUUCUAUCCACCCUUGGGCCAGUGGAAAGCCGGGGUGACCUACUUUGUGAGGUCCUGCCCUGUGAAACUGACUUGCUUUUCAAUGAUCUUCAUCUUUUUCCCCAGGACCACUUCUCAAAGGACAGCCAUGAACGAAACAAAUUAGCUGCUGACUUGUUUAGCUCAAUAAAUCAAGCUGUGGGUCUGUCAGCCCAGAGUGCAGGUAGAGACAGGAAAGACAGAUUCUGAACAAAACCCACAUCCUUCACCAGUUCCUCUGGUGCCUGAGUCGAAAAUGACCAGGUAGGGGCGCCUGGGUGGCGCAGUCGGUUGGGCGUCCGACUUCAGCCAGGUCACGAUCUCGCGGUCCGUGAGUUCGAGCCCCGCGUCGGGCUCUGGGCUGAUGGCUCAGAGCCUGGAGCCUGUUUCCGAUUCUGUGUCUCCCUCUCUCUCUGCCCCUCCCCCGUUCAUGCUCUGUCUCUCUCUGUCCCAAAAAUAAAAAAAAAAAAAAAAAAAAAAAAAAGAAAAUGACCAGGUUUCCUGCAAAUCAGUUCUAAAUUUCUACCACCCAGUUCCUCCAGGUUAAUCUGAAUGCUAGGAAUUACUGGAACUUCUGCAAAUAAUCUUUAUUCUUACAAUGGAUUUUAUAAGGGACUGUAGUCUCUGUAAUUAUUGCCAGCCACUCUGUUUAAUUCACAUUUGAUUAGACAGCUGUCCUUGUUUUUGAGACAGAUGAAGGGAGGGUGGACUAGAGACAGUCACCCUCUCCAGCAAUCCUGCCCCGCAAAUCACCCAAGCCAUGGCUCUCCCCAUGAGGACAAAGGCAUCUCUCUCUUUCUCAGAUCCGGGCUGAAAGUUUCAGGGCCCUUCCUGUCUCCUGUAGCACUUGCCCAGGUCUGCCGAUACCCUCAGGAUUGUAAAGACUGGCGUUGGACUAGAGGAGCAGGCGGUAGAUCUAAUUGGCCAGAGGGACCCGGAGCCCUAGAUGCCUCCAGGUUAUAAGCAGUUUUUCCGAGGCAGAAACCUCAGACCUACCACGCGGGACUUCAGCCUAGUGUGUGGCUCUUGCGCCCUCUAGUGGUUAGAUUGAGUUUCUGCAACUUCAAAAGCUAUGGGGGAUUAUUUGAAAUACACGAGAGACAGAACUUGGCAUAUGAGUGACCUGAAUCGCCAGUGACUAGAGUCUCACCAGUGACCUGAGUUACACUGGUUUGGAUCUGAAAUUUAGAAGGAGAUAAUAAGUUCUUAGGAGGAGCAUAAAAAUCCCUACUGCCUCUUUUCUUUUAUGGUGUUCUUUGAAGUUUUGUUUGGAAAGGCUUAAUGAGCGAGAAAUCAACAUUUACCAAGUCCUAGGAUGUGCCGGUCACAAUGACAAGCAGUUUCCUCACGAAAAGCCUUGGGUGGAUAAGAUGAUGCUCCCAUUUUGCUGCCAUAGUAGGUGCAAAGAGCGGGGGGGGGGGGGGGGGCAAAAACCCCUUGGCACAGAGCCAGCAAGCGGCUGAACCCAGAUGCCAAUCCAGCUGCCUCUUCCAAUAUCCUUUGUUCUUCCCUGCGCACCAUGCUGCCUCUCUGAAUGUAAAAAGGUGAAGCACUUCUCCAUGUCUUCAUCUGGUCUUCCUUAUUCAUUUUUCUGGUGUGAAUUGUCUGUUCAUAACUUUCCUUUAUCUGUCGAGAUUGUGGUGUUUUUCUUACAGAUUUGGAUUAGCUCUGUAUAUAUGACAGUUACAUUUGUCAGUCACACUGCAUGGAGAUGUUUUUUCCAACAUGCCAUUUUUUUUUUCUCGCUAAUUCAACCAUGUUGUUUCAUUACACAGAUGUCUUUAGUUGGUUCAUAAUUCAAUGGUUGGUUCAUAGUUACUUUUGUUAUUGCUUUAUUGUUUCAAAGCAGAGGAAAUUAACAUUUCUCUAGCAAAUCAGUAAUCGACAUGUCCCCUAUAAUCUGGUUGCUGUCUAUUUAACUCUGGAUUAUUUAUUUAGGUAUGUGAGAUUAAGUGCAAAUUCCACAUUUUUAAGAAAAACUGCAGUUAAGUUGGCCCCACCCUUUUGGCACAAUCUUUCCUUUUCCCCCUAAUUUGAGAAGUCUGUUUUGUAUAAUACCAUAUCUAAAGUUUCUGGGAUCUCCAAUCUAUGCCACUCAUUUAUAUUUCUUUCUUGUCCUGAAUAGGCUUCCAUUUUAAUUAUCAUGAUUUAUAAUAUACUGUUAUCAUGGUAUGGCCAGAUCAACUCUCUUUGCUAGAAAACUGAUGAAAAACUUAAAUCCCAGAACAGAAAAAUAAAACCAAAUUCACAAAAUAUCAUAUCUGGAAAGAUAUGGCAUAUAAGAAAGCGUGAAUGUGGAUUUUUAUUAUGGUUUGGACAAAUUAAAGAACUCCAGUCGUACCAAGCAUUUCCCAAAGAAAACUCCCAUAUAUUCUUAUCCAUUUCAUUAUUUUAAAUAGCAUUUUUAUUAUGGAAGUAAUAAAUACUUUGAGGUGAUUUUUAAAUUAAAUUUGAAGGUCAAAGGAAGUAUAAGAGCUCCAUUCAUUUCCUAGAUUAAGUAAUUUAUUUAAAACAAAUAUUUGAGAAUAAUCCACUUCGUACCAAGUUCUAAGUCGGGCUCCGAGAUAGAGCUGUAAGCAAGACAAAAAUGGUCUCUACUCUUCCGGAACCUAAUGUGCAAGAUGGAAAUUCAACCAGAACCCCAAGGAAAGAGCGAGCUCAUCGUGCUCUGGGAAAGUGCACCCGGGGUCCUAAACAAUUUGAAGAGAGGUCAGGAAAUGCUUCCUGCAGGAUGCAUUAUGGGAGCUGGGGAUCAGGGGACGAAUUUCCCAGUCAAGGGUAAGAGAAAAGAGCAGAGCAUAACUGACAAUGCUAGAAAAUUGCUAAAAUUGCCCCCAGACCCGUACAGAUUCAAGUCUGCCAUAUUACCCAACCUAAGGUCAGGCGUUUUGUGCAGGGAUUGGUUGCCCAAAUUUCCUACUCCUUAAAACUCACCAAGGUCUGGAAGGAUACGUCACUCAGGUUACAGAUUUGGCCAAGGUGCAUCGGUGGAGAACAAUUUGCAUCGUGUCUUACAAGACACGUGAGGUUCUCCAAUGGUUAAGUGCAUCAGCUGAGCAGAGUAUCAGGAUGGCCUGUUGGGUCAGACUUGAUUCGGUUUCCCCAGCACCAGACUCCUGAGCAGAGAUGUCUUUGCCCCUUAGGUCGUCACUAUGAAUAGUGUCACCCAUAGUUUACAGGAUACAAAUGACAAUUCUGACAAAGCAAGCCACAUGCUCAGGGAGAUGGGAAGGUAACAGGUGGAGUGGUUGAUUUCUAUGGCAAUGGAAGAUGAAGUAUGCCCCCCAAGGCCUUGCUGGACCCCCAAGGGGCCAAGAGCCAAGGAGGGCUGGGGUGAAAGCAGUCCCCUCAGAUGUCCAUGCUGUGUGGUUUGCACCGACAGGAAGGCAGGCCCCGGACCAUACACUGUGAGUCCCUAGUGAGCAAGGCUGCAGUUCUUGUAGAAGCCAGGUCUUUAAAGAAGCUGCUAAAAGCUAAAGCCACUCACCUACAUGCCAGUAAACGUACACCUGGGAAAAGAAGAUGAAAUCCCCCAGUUGGUGCCUACGUAGUGGACUAGGUGUGUGGGGGACGUUAGCGGUUUAUAAAGGCUUCCUCAAAAAGCAUCGUGGGAGCCUCACAGAAACCCUGCAGUUAGGUGGUGUCAGAUGAAGAACCUGGGACUGGAGGACAGUGAGUGACUUACUGCCAAGACCUAGAGCUGGAGGUGGAAGAGCCCAAGUCCUCACACACUGCCUUGUUCAGCCCGCCCGCUGGGCACCUCGGUCCUGGGAUGAAGCUUAGGGUUCCUGCCCUCACGGAGCUCCCAAUCUAGAGGGGGAAGACCGAAUGAUGACAGGGUGACGUUGAUCAUAGAGCACAGCUUCAGAGAGUAUGGAGAGACACCACAGGCACUGGCCUCAGUCAGGGAGAUCCCAAAAGGCUCCAGGAUGAGGUGACUCAUGACCUGAAGCUUGAAAGAGGAGUAGACCAACACUCGUCAAACUCGAGGUGCAUCCGGAGCACCUCGAGGGGUCGUUAAACUAGAAUGCUGGGUCCUACCCCCAGAGUCUCUGAUUAAGUAAAUCUGGGGUGGGGCUCAAGAAUCCGCAUUUCUAACAAGUUACCAGGGGACCGCACGGUGCAAACCACUGCAGAAGAGCUUUCCCAGCAGACGCAAGUGCACAUGGGACCUGCAACUAGGCUGGUCUGGCCAGGGCACAGGGCGGCGGAUGGGGUGGGCGGCAGGAGGCUGGAGAGGAGGGCGACACAGGGCCUUGCUGGGCUGCUGACACCCAAGCCAGGGCUCAGACCAGGCUCUUCCCCCACUCCUGUAACAGAACAUAGACUGGCAUCAGGCUGUAAUGGGUAGUCCACUCAGGAGGGCCUCCUUCCACUUCCCCCCUCUCUUUUCUGAUCUCUUUACGGACCCUACACUGCUUCUCUCAAGUGCCAGACGCUGGACUAAGCACCGUAUGCAAGUUCUCUCAUUAAACAUAGUAACCCUUUGGAGUAGACAUAUGGAGAUCCCCAUUUUACAGACGGGGACGCUGAGGCACAGAAUGCUUUGGUAAUUUGCCCCCAGGACCCGCAGCUCAAAGAGGUGACGCCAGACACACACCCAGGCUUCCGUUCCUCUCUGUGCGUGGCUUGACCCCAUCUAGCCUGCCAGAGCCCAACGGGUCCAGUUCCAUGAGGCCUAACCAGGUCUGGAGUCAUUACUUUUGGGGACAGGUGAGGGGAGCCAGAAGCAGCUGGCCUCCACAGAGGGACACGGGGACUCCCCAGCAGCUGAGGUGCACCAGCUGCCAGCUGAACUGAACAGACACGUUGGUCCCCAGCCAAGGAUUCCCCACAAUUAGCAGCCUGGGGGUGUAGAGUCAGGCAGAGCUGCCUUUAAACCUCAGCCCCUUCCAGCUGUGUCUCUUUAAAGGUCCAUUAACCUUUAUACCUUUCCAUGCUUGCUUUCUUCUCUACAAAAUGGGACAACUCGAACCCCACGGGAUUGUCACGGGGGUGGGGAAAUAAAAUAACCCGGGUCUGCCACCCAGUGUGUGCUGAGUGCAUCUAACUCUUCCUUCCCCAGCUCCCCAACCCCCGCCCCAGGGGGUCACCACCAUUGUCCUCGCCCAGCCCUGGCCACGGCUGAGACCUCUUCUUAGCCACUUGAGGAGACAGAGGUUGAAGAAUAAUAGCCUCUUGUGGCUUGGGGGUUGACAGACAACCCAUCUCCCCGGCUAUAUAGCCAGGUCCUUGCUCACCAACCGGAGGAUGUGGCCACGGGCGAGUUCUGGUACCGGGGCAGGGCCGUGCUGUCAGCAGCCCCGUGAGGACAACAGAGGCAGCAAGCUGGGGAGACGCUCCCCCACUUGUGACGGCACAAUGUUGAUCGCAGAGUGAAAACGGGGCAGGGAGAAGGAAUUUGAAAUUGAUGAUGAGAAGAGUGCUGAUUCGAACUAAUAUUGCCUUGGGUAGUGGUCUUGUCUGCCAUUUUUAACUUGGUGAUUUUGGACAAGUUGCAUAACAUAAGCCCGUGAGCCUCAGUUUCCUCAUGCAUAAAUUGGAAUCAGUCAUUCUUCCCUCAGGUCUGUUCUGAGGAUUGAGUGAGGAUGUCCAAAAAAAGAAAGAAAGAAAGGCUUGGGGCAUUGGUAAGCACUGAUUUGUAAAGUCCAUCCCAACACAGCUAGGCACACAAUGGAACCGGUAAGCAAAGGGUUAAUGGAACUGCCCUCAGCUGCAACUUUUCAGCCAAACGUCUUUCAUUUGCCUUUAAACUGCCCUGAUUCUGCUCCUGGGAGGAGGUGGGGCUGAGUUUUAUCCUGUCUCCUUCUUUUGCUGCCUGUGGAGGAGCUUGCUGGGGACUCCAUGUCUCUCAGUGAUGGUCUUUGCUGAGUAUCGGACAGGCGAACUUGGGUUUGGCUACAGAUUUGGUGAGCCAGGCAGGAGCUCUGCGCCCGUAGUUUGUCGGCCCCGAGCUGCUAACAGGAUUCUGGUGACUGGUCCAAGCAGUUGCCUAGGCUCUUUGUCGAGGGGCCUGACCUCAAGACCCCACUCCGACUGGGCACCAUCGGCCUUCGGCACCUAAAUUAACCUGCAGCAAGAAAAUGACUUUGGGUUUGGUUUAAACAGCGGUCUCUUGGUGAGUACUGCAUACUCCAUGGCAUGGGAGCCUGCUUAUUUCUUCCUCCCUCUGGUUUGGCUUUCUUAGAUUUCUUCCUCUCACUCGGCUGCCUCCAAACACAGGAUUUGGGUUCUCUUCGUCUCCUUUUCUUUUACGUUUAUUUAUUUUUGAGACAGAGAGAGACAGAGCAUGAACAGGGGAGGGUCAGAGAGAGAGGGAGACACAGAAUCCGAAACAGGCUCCAGGCUCCGAGCUGUCAGCACAGAGCCCGAUGCGGGGCUCGAACUCACAGACCCGACCGCGAGAUCAUGACCUGAGCCGAAGCCGGUCGCUUAACCGACUGAGCCACCGAGGCGCCCCUUCUUUUCUUAAGAGAAGGCAGACUAGCAAAUUGUUUGGUUCAGUCAGUGAAGCUCUGAAUUUUAGGGAGGAACUAGAAACUAGGAAGCCAUUUGGUUCUGUGGGUGAAGCCUCAACUUUUGCGGAGGAACCAGUGCCCACGGAGGCACUCUGGGCUUCAUUAGGCUUGCUGCAGCUUGUGAUAUCUUCGAAUAAAACCAGCCGUGUUCUAAUUGGAAAAUGGGAAGUCCCUGCUUGAUCCCCACAUGCAGCCCUUUGGGCUCUGUUCUCCAAUCUUCUUUUGUAACACUGGCCACAAUAGUCCUUCGACUCUUGAGAAAAAUGACCAAUUAAUGAAUCCGUAAAUUAUACCGCCUUGCAAUUAGAUUUGUGUUGUAAAAAGGGGUAGAGACUUGGAAAUUGGGCCUUUAAGAUUUUUUCUGCAUCUUGUUUGUGUAUUUGUAUGUGUCCAUGUGUGUGAGCUAUUUGCUCUCCAUCUGCAUGGUGUUGCUAAAGUUAAUUUGUAAAAGAGUUCUGGUUAGUUAAAAAGCAAACGCUUGUUCCAAUUGGACAUUCUAAAACUCAAAGACUGAAACUAACCCAAAUGAUUUUCACAUGAUCUUGGAAAAUAUUGAGUAGUAAAACUAAUUUAAGGUUGCUGGUUUAAUUAAAAUGGACACGUGCUUAGAAUUAAAAGCACUAUAAUAUAAAACUUUUAUUCUGCUUGUGUUUAUUGAAAGUCACAUAAGUUCCUGUUAUCUCCAUUGCAAAAUUUGUCAAAAAAGGGGAAGAAACUUAAAAAAAAAAAAAAAAAAACCUUAGAACUUUUUGUAAUGCCUGAUGAAGUUUUAAGCACCAAGCCUGGAGAAGACCGGCAGGUAGACUUUACCAGGAGCCAAAAACAACAGGUAAUUUUCAAUAUUUGCUGGUAUUUAUAGAUCCCUUGGCAAGCUGGGUUGAAGCUCUUUCCCCUGCCAUUCAGUGAAGUCCUCAGAAGUUGUCCAAACACUUUUAAGUAGGGGAAAGUAGGUGAUGUGCAUUGAGGGCACUUGUUGGGAUGAGCACUGGGUGUUGUAUGGAAGCCAAUUUGACAAUAAAGUAUACUUAAAAAAAAAAAAAACACUUUUAAGCAAAAACAUUCCUAGGUUUGGAUUGCCACUAACCAUUCAGAGUGACAGUGGAGCAGUGUUUGCAUCACAAGCCAGACAAACCGUGCCCAAUGCCUUGGGUGUCCAGUGGAAAUUACACACUUCCUGGAGACCCCAACCAGCUAGAAAAACCAAGGGGGAAAAAAAAAAAAAAAACCGUUUAGCAAAGAUCUGCCAAGAAACUAACUUAGGGAAGAAGCCUUGCUGGUUGUUCUGCUUUAGGUACGAGUGGCCCCUAGACAUGGGCUUGAGUUAAUAAGCCCUUAUGAAAUGGUAUAUGGAAGACUGUUGUUACACCCUUCUCAUAACUUAGGAGUUCCUCACAUUAGGGAAUUGGAUACUUUCAGGGAGGUCCAGCAGGUAAGGUAAGUUCACUUCCAGCAGGUUGACGUGCCCCACAGACGUGCCCUUGCACCGACUGUAUCCUGGAGACUCGGCAUCACUAAAGACCUGAAGAGUGAGCACCCAGAGGGCCAGCUCCAACUUCAGUGAGGCUCACUCUUCAGGGACACUGAGGGGGGUCAAGCCGUGGAUUCCUCACAUUCAACAUACGAGAAUCCGCAGGUUCCCUACAGCCUGCCAGCAAGGAGGACCUCAAAAAAAGCACUGCUUGGAGCAGUGAGCCUCUGGCAAACCCCUCCUAUUCAGGAGAGCUGGCCUGAAGACCUCAAUACAUGCAACAAGCUUGGUUAAAACACCUCUCCCCAAAGGUCCUAGAUAAAAUGUAGUACAAACACUAAUAACCAAACUACAAAAUCUUGGUAAUGCAGGGGCACCUGGGUGACUUGGUCGGUUAAGUGUCGAACUUCAGCUCAGGCUUGUGGGUUAGAGCCCCGCAUCGGGCUGUGUGCUGACAGCUCAGAGCCUGGAGCCUGCUUCAGAUUCUGUUUCCCUCGCACGCUCUCAAAAAUAACUCUUAGUAAUGCAGAAUGUUGGGUUUCAGCCUGGGACUGAAGAGUAUCUCUAAGUGAGUGCAGGAAGUUUCCAUUCCCCAACUCUAAUCUGUGCCCCAUCUCAGCAGGAAGUAACUAGAAUGGUCAUCGUCCCAAUUCCCUCAAGAAUGAGGAAUGAUCAAAAGAGGGUAGGGAUUGAAACCGGUAACCAGAGAGAUAAUGUGGCUGAUCUCAGCUGCAGACUAGUAAGUGCAGCUGUGACUCUUUACCCAGAACUUUUUCAUUUGCCUUCCAAUUUCCCCGACUCUCCUCCUUAGGAGCAGAUUUGAGGCUUGCCCUCGAGUCUCUGCCUUUGGCUGCCUCUCAAAUCAACUCUUUCCUUGCUGCAUCCUUGGUGACUCAGUGAUCAUCUUUGCUGGGCAUCAGGCAGACAAACUUGGGUUCAGUUACAAUAACACAAAGUAUUUGUUCGUUUACUCAGAAACAGUGAGCAUCUACUCUGUGCCAGGCACUGUUGUAGGCACUGGAAAUCAAGCCAUAAAUAAGACAGACAAAAGCCCCGCUUUCCUGGGGCUCACCCUCCAGUGAGAGUUGACAGUCAAUCAACAGCUGAACAAUAAGAAACAUCUACAAAAACAGUUUAAGUGCCUUGAACACAUUAAAACUGGAUACGAUGGUAGCAUAUGAUUCUCUCCACGUGUGGCCAGUGGAAGGGCUCAGGAUAGCAAAGGGUGUAAAACAGGAGUGGCCACAGGCAGAGAUCAGUGGAAGACCAAGAAUCCUUCGUCCUUCUGUCCUCUCCUCCUUCAGCUCUGGUCUGGCCCAAUGUCCCUCAGAGUGUGUACCCCCCAGACUCCCUAACGUAACGUAUUUGGUUUCCAGGAGAGCGGCACCCUCGGCUGAAUUUUCAGUGGACAGGACACGCCACUUGAUGUCCUUCCUGACUAUGAUGGGCCCCAGCCCCGACUGGAACGUGGGCCUGUCUGCAGAGGAUCUGUGUACCAAGGAGUGCGGCUGGGUCCAGAAGGUGGUACAAGACCUGAUCCCCUGGGACGCCGGCACCGACAGUGGGGUGACCUAUGAGGUGGGUAUAUGCCUGUGGUGGUGAGGGACAAAGCUUUCUGGGUGCUUUCUCUUCCCCCAGCCUUGUGCUGGGGGUCCCGGACACAAAUGUGGUAAAGGAAUCCACAGUCUGGAAGGGGAGGCCGGCAUAGUUUCACCCUCACAUACCAUAUACAGUAUGACCCACACAGCUGGCCAGGAGGCCAUGGAGAGGGAAUGUGCUAAAAAGCAGUUCAUAGAUAAGCAAGGGAACAGCAGGAAAUGGGCAUGGAAGCAAAAAGCAAGAGACGGGGGUGAGAAUAGGGAACAACAGAAGCUGAUGUAUGUGAGGCUGGGCCAGAUCCUGGAGGUUUCCAGACACCUAGGUUAAGGACUUUGGAUUCUCUCCUGAUUUAAUAUUUUUCAUUGCAUUGAAAUCCGAAGCCAUUGGAAAACCAGUGGCAGGGCAGUAUGUCGGAAAACCCCAGUUUGUGGGCCAAACUGGGACUACCACCUGACUUGUAAAUAAGGUUUUCAAACCCCACCGCCCGCAUUCAAUUACAUGUUGUAGGGAGCUGCUCUCUCCCUACAAAAGCUGAGUCGAGUAGUUGGAGCCGACACAAUAGGACCCACAAAACCUAAAAUAUUUACCAUCUGACCCUCUCUAUACUAGUUUGCCAACGCCUGGUCCAUCAGGAAGAGCUCUGGAUUCAGGCCAGCCUGGUUCAGCUGUUUCCUAGUUGGGAUGAGCUCUCUGAAACUUUGUCUUCAUCAGGAUGUAAUCCUGAGUACCUGGGAGAAUCUGAAAAUCGAGGUCUACCGAUUUUUUUUUGCACGAUACACGGCGUGAAUAGAAUUGCAUUAACACCAGAGGCAGUUAGAGCUGUUGUGAAAUCCCUAACAAUUAGGUUUUUGUUCUGAUCAUAUUACAAUCAAGUUGCUUUUGUGGUUUUUAAACACUCUGUUUCCCACACUCUGUCUCUGUGUUCUCUUCCCCGCUGACAGUCACCCAACAAGCCCACAAUUCCCCAGGAGAAAAUCCGGCCCCUGACCAGCCUGGACCAUCCUCAGAGUCCUUUUUACGAUCCAGAGGGCGGGUCUAUCACUCAAGUAGCCAGAGUUGUCAUCGAGAGAAUCGCCCGGAAGGUACUGGGGCUAGAGCUCACCCUGUCACAGACACUUCCCACCAGGAGCGCGAGCCGACUGUACCCCUAUCUGCUCAGGAAUCAUGGGGUCCCUGGCGUAUUCCAAAACACAGGACUCCUGGACCGCCUGAGGUUUCUAAGCAUGCAAAUUAUUCGUAAGAUCUAAAUGAGCAAAAUCAACAUUACAGUGGGGUUCUGUGCUCCACUGAAUGAUUUGGUCCAGACAGAUAGGUAUCCUAGUGAGUUCCAUAACUGAUUACUGACGUCUGCCAUGGGUCAGGGACUGGGAAGCUGUGGCUUUCUUGCCAUUUCUCUUUCAGUGUGAUUGUAAAUGUUGGCUCGGAACUCCACCAUGGCCUGGGAUUUGCACGCUGGGUGGGCAUCCGAUUUUACCUCCUCCCUCGUCUGACCAAACACGUGCCACUGUUUGAUGGGAGCCCUCCAAGAAAACUUCCUUUUGCAGGGGGAACAAUGCAAUAUUGUACCUGAUAACGUCGAUGAUAUUGUCGCGGAUCUGGCUCCAGAAGAGAAAGAUGAAGGUAUGUAAGUUUUCUUGGUUGCAGGUAGCAAUAUAACCUGGCAAUACCUUCUGAGAAAUCAGUUUGCGAACAGGUUUUCAGAGCUGCAAAAAUAGUAUGUCCUUUGACUUGGCAGUCCCUUCUUUGAGGACUUCUUCCUGGAAGAUAAGCCAAAAUGAGGCCAGGACUCAAAGAAGAUGUGUUCACCAGUAUCGGGCCUUUGCAUGGGUGUCCUGGGACCCCCGGCACUCCCCACUUUGAUGGUCAUUCUGGCCUGUGAGGCAGCGUGGACACGUCCACUUCCCCGGCAAGGAAAGGGAGGCCUAGAUCCUACGGUCAGGAGGGAGCAGCAGGCCCAUGCCUUCAGCCCCUUCUCUCAUGGGAUCUGGAGCCACACCACUUGGGCUUUUUUCUGUGGCCUUGGGCAGGACGCUUCCAUGCUACCUCACUGUCCUCACCUGUAGAAUGGGGAUAAUAACAGAACCUGCCUCGCUGAGUGUUGCUGUGAGAACCAAAUGGGACAAAACAUGUAAGGUUCUUACAACGAUGCUGGUGUGUAAUAAGUGCUGGGCGAACAUUGGCUGCCUUCAUCGUGACACCUGUGUAUGGGGUCGUUGAGAAGAUUAAAUAGCAACACACACACACACACACACACACACACACACACACACACACACAGAAGGCUGUGCUUCCCCAAUUGCCUGUGAUCUGCCUGUACACCCGCAGAAACCGUGUCUGCCAGGGGUGAGGGGCCAGAAAUGAGAGACCCCCAUGUGUUGAGGGGAAGGGCUAGUAGGACUCUUCCCUGUCGCUUAGAUACUCCUGGAAUGAUUAAAAUAUCGCCUUUAAAGGCAAGUGAAUAGCUGCUUCCACCCCAAGAGCGCCCAGGUUUGCUGAGGCAGGGCAGGCAACGCAGAUUUUCUUAUCCCCAAAGGAGCUUGCGUGGGGAUAGGGCCGGCUCCGGUGUCCACAAGCUCCCAAGGAAAACCUGUCCCACGCUCUUUCCAGAUGACACCCCCGAAACCUGCAUCUACUCCAACUGGUCCCCGUGGUCCGCCUGCAGCUCCUCCACCUGUGACAAAGGCAAGAGGAUGCGGCAGCGCAUGCUAAAGGCACAGCUGGACCUCAGCGUCCCCUGCCCGGACACCCAGGACUUCCAGCCCUGCAUGGGCCCCGGCUGCAGUGACGAAGGUGAGGCUACAGCCCAGGUGAGCGAGGAGCUGGCAGAGGCUUGUUCUGUGUUGUGGCGAGGGGCGCCUGGGUGGCUCGGUCAGCUAAGCAUCUGACUUCGGCUCAGGUCAUGAACUCAUGGCUUAUAGGUUAGAGCCCCGCAUGGGACUCUGUGCUGACAGCUCAGAGCCUGGAGCCUGCUUCGGAUUCUGUGUCUCCCUCUCUCUCUGCCCCUCUCUUGUUCGCACUCUGCCCCUCCCUCUCUCUUUCUCUCUCUCAAACACCAACAUUAAAAAUAUUUAAAGAAAAAAAGAAACAGGUGAGCAGGUUGGCCAACACUGAAUCUCAAUCCAUCUCCCUAGUGGGACAUGACCAUCGUGGACCUUCGUGUUCUAUUCACACCCGAGUUGGAGCACCUCCUUCCUGUGUCAGGAGCUCGGGGCUGAUUGCAAGGAUCCUGUCUAGCUCUCUGCUACUGCUCAAAAAUCAGGCCUGAGCUGUGAACUUGCAUGGCCUCUGUCAUGAUGGCACAGGCUUCAGAAUGGCACUGAGCUGAUUGCUGUGCAAAGGUCAGCUGCCUACUUUCCAGGGCACAGCUGUUCUCUCCACCUGGACAGGUCUAGUCUCUGUACCAUGAGCUUAACUGUCUCACAGGUGCAAUGAGGCAACAGGAAGAGAUACAGAAGUUGGGCUGGUUUAUGGCAGGAAGAAAACCACUUCCAAGCUGAGUAUAAUUGAAGAAAGCUUAUCCCACUGUGGGUCAUUCUCCCUCUGGUUCUUGCUGGGGACAGUAAUACGUCUCCUGGCUGCACUCCCACAGUGAUUUAUUGCCAUUUGUGCCUUUGAUAAGGCACUUCAGAGGGGAGUGAACCCCCCCACUUCCAUAUAUUCUAGAUACUAAUCCCUUAUCAGAUAGGAUUUGCAAAUAUUUUCUCUCAUUCCAUAAGUUACCGGUUCACUGUUGACCGUGUCCUUUUGCACAAAUUCUAAAGUUUCAUGAAAUCUGGGUUUGUUUUUUCCCUUUGGUUGCCCGUUCCUUUGGUAUCCUAUCCAAGAAAUCAUUGCUAAAUUAAGUGUCCUGAAGGUUUUGCCCUAGGUUUUCUCUUAAGUUUAUAGGUCAUUGAUCCAUUUCAAGUUAAUUUUUAUAUACGAUAUUAGGUAAAAGUCUCCAUUCUUUUAAAUGGGGGUAUCCACCUUUCCCAGCACCACCUAUUGAAAAGCCUGUCCUCUCUAUUGAGUGGUCUUGGAACCCUUUUCAGAUUAUUUGCCCAUUUGCGUAAGACUUUAUUUCUAGGCUCUCUAUUCCAGUCCAUUGAUCUGUAGGUCUGGCUGUAUGCCAGCACCACACAGCUUUGAUUCCUGUAACUUUGUAGUUAAAUUUUAAAAUCGGGAAGUGUGAAUCUUCCAACUUUGUUCUUUUUCAAGGUUGUUUUGAUUAUUCAGGGGUCCUUAAGAUUCCCUAUGGAGUGUAGGCUAGAUUUUACUAUUUCUGCAAUUGUGCCUGCUUUUUGUGCCUGGUGCGUGUACAUGCAGCCCAGAAGCUACCCCACUCAAUGCCAGAUCAAGUUCUCUUGUGCUCACAUCCGGUUGCCUUCCGCACUUGAUUAUUCAGGGUGUGGUUAGAACAGGAAGGAAGCCGAGACCCCUUUGGAUGUUCCAAAGGAAUUAGACUGCAUGAAUAUACAUCUUAUUGUAGCGAGUGCAUCUUCGUUUCUUGCUAAUCCUCUGGGCCAGCCCUUUAGUCCACGCCUUAUCAUCUCCCCACUCCCACCCAUCUUCCAGGGCCCCACUAGAGGGAUCUUCUACAAAGAUCUGAUCAUUUCACUCCCCAGCUAAAAGAUCUGUGGCUCCUUAUGGCCCAUGUGCAAACUCCUCAGCUUAAUUUACAGGGCAAAUAGUCCUGCAGCGACCCCGGGUGCAAGGCCAGGGCAAAAUGAGCACUGUGACACAAAUCCACACCACAUGAGUUACACUGCAACACUAGACACACGGUCAGUAAAGGCACUUGGGGACAGCCAUUUGGGGGUUACUGGAAGAGUUGAGCCUCAAGUCCAAGCUCUACCUGUCAGUUACACAGUGGGUGGUGGCCAAAUUCUGCCUUCCUGGGGUAAUGUCUUGCCAGGUCCUGGAAAGCCUGAGGUGGGACUUGUCAAGCCUGGUACCCCUAACUAUUACUGUACCAGCCUAACCAUUAUUACACUGGAACAUCGUGUUCUUUGUAUGGGCUUCCUUUGGUUAGCCUUGUCCCUGGGCCUAAUGUGUGGGUCCCAGGAGAGAAACCUACAGUGUCCCCCCGGCACUGUCCAGAGAUUAAAUCACCAUGUGUAGGCAUCACACCUGGCAAGCGACAGCCACAUUCAUGUGCAAGCUGGACUCACAGUUCUUCUAACUUCAUUUCCCAAUACCAUGUACAUAAACACUCCGUACAGGGGUGUUGGCAUAAGCUAUCCGUUCACCAUAAAAGCAAAUCUCCUUUACCCAACAAAAGUAUACUCCGGUGUGCCCUCUUGUGUGAAAUCUUCCCCUAAACUCCAAGGAGUGGGUUUUUCCCCUCUGUGUUACCUUUGCUGUCAUAUUUUCAGUACCUGGAAUUAUUGUGCCCAGCUCUUAGAACAAGAUCCUUAUCUUACGUUAUCUUUUUAACCUCAGAGCAUACCACUAGGCAUUCAAAGCAUUCAGUAAGUCUUCAUUAAUAUGGAUAAACGGAUGACAUCAUUUCCUUUUUCUUUUUUUUAAAGAACUAAGACACACGCAUGUGCAUGCACACACACACACACACACACACACACUCCUAUGUUUCCACCAAGGGUAGUCCCCACCCCUAUUUGGAAACAGGACUACCAAGCCAUGCUGCGGGCUUUAUCCUCCCCCUGCUCCCCACCUCCAGUGUCCCCUACAUGAUCAUGGCCUUUGCUAACCCCUAGGGAUAGAAGCAAAGCCAUAUAUAGCCCAAGAUGUCAACACAAAAGAAUGGUUCUACUGCCUUCCUCACUCUUCCUCUGUCCCCUGGCACACAGACAUUCCCUCCCCACACUACCAUUUGUUCUCCAUUAGCAGCUGGGGUAUUCUCUUGGUUGCCAGCCUCAACAGAGGCAAUGAGAGGUCUGUGGUCACUUAGUGUAAUCUGUUUGGGUACAAAUCCACCCUGUGUUUGUCUUCAGGUCCCUAUAUCCGAAAGCCAGUCACAAUCUUUACCCUCCGGAACAAAAUUCUCAUCAGUUUUUCUAGACAGGGAACUGGCAGCUUUAGAGAACUAUAAAAUCUCAAGUUCCUCUGAGCAACAGAGCUUACAUUGUAUCUCAGAAUCUAUAUAAUACCUUUCCAGCACUGUCCAGUAGAAGUUUGUGAUGGGAAAGUUCUGUAUCUGUAUUAUCCAAAAUGGCAGCCACUAAUCAUACGUGGCUACUGGUUACUUCAAAUGUAGUUAAGUGACAGAGGGAAGUGAAUUUUUAAUUUUAUUUAAUGGUCUUAGAUAUAGGAUACACCCUAGACCAUGCAGAUAUAAAAUCUAAGAUAAAUUAUUAUAUAAAAUAAAACAUUCUUGUACCCAUCCAAGCAGCUUUCAACUGGAUUGUCCUGAAAUAAGGAGUAAUCCAUGCACCUGGAAAACGGGCAUGUCCUUUUAGAGAAUAAUUCCUGGUUUCAAGAUUUAUACCUUUUAAGUUCCCCUCCAUCCCCAACUGCCUGACUCCCCUUGAAUGCCACCCAGUUCUGUUUUAAUUCCAGGAUAUUUAACAUACAGUGUUAUGUUAGUAUCAGGUGUACAAUUCCAUACAUUACUCCGAACUCAUCUGAAGUGUACUCUUAAUCCCUGUUACCUAGUUCACCCAUCCCGCACGCCCGGAACAGUUUCUGAAUAGUUGAGACAAACCAAAAAAGACUUUUAAUGCCCCUUGCUUUAUUUCUGAAAUUCCACAAGUAAAAUCCUACAGGAUUUGUCUUUCUCUGACUUAUUUUGCUUAGCAUUAUGCUCUCUAGCUCCAUCCAUGUUGCAAAUGGCAAGAUUUCAUUCUGUGUUACAGCUGAAUAAUAUUCCAUUGUAUACAUAUACCAUUUCCUUUAUCAACAAGCGAUGGACACUUGCGUUACUUGCGUAAUUUGACUAUUGUAAACAAUGCUGCAAUAAACACAGGAGUGCAUAUAUCCUUUCAAGUUAGUAUUUUUGGAUUUGGGGAUAAAUACCCAAUAGUGUAGCAUUGGAUCAUAGGACAAUUCAAUUUUUAACUUUUUGAGGAACUUCCAGUCUCUUUCCACAGUGGCUACUCUAGUUUGCAUUCCCACCAACAGUGCACGAGGGUUCCUUUUUUUUCCACAUCCUCCCCAACACCUGUUGUUGCUUUUAUUUUAGCCAUUCUGAUGGGUGUGAGGUAAUAGCUCAUGUAGUUUUCAUUUACAUUUCCCUGAUGAGUGAUGUUGGGCAUCUUUUCAUAUGUCUGUUGUCCCUCUGUGUGUCAUCUUUGGGGAAAUGUUUGUCUCCUGCCCAUUUUUAAAUUGGAUUAUUUGGUUUUUGGGUAUUGAGUUUUAUAAGUUCUUUAUUUUAGAUACCAGCCCUUUAUCAGGUCAUUUGCAAAUAUCCUCUCCCAUUCUGUAGGUUGCCUUUUAGUUUUGUUUCCUUUGCUGUGCAGAAGCUUUUACUUUGAUGUAGUCCUAAUAGUUUAUUUUUGCUCUCAUUUCUCUUGCCUCGCGGGACUUAACUAGAAAAAUGUUGCUACGGCCCAUGUCAGAGGAAUUACUGCCUGUGCUCUCUUCCAGGAUUUUUAUGGUUUCAGGUCUCACAUUUAGGUUUUAAGCCAUUUUAUUUUUAUGUACGGUGCAAGAAAGUGGUCCAGUUUCAUUCUUUUGCAUGUAGCUCUCCAGCGUUCCCAUCACCAUUUGUUGAAGAGACCAUCUUUUUCCCCAUUCAAAACCGUGCACUGGCACAAAAACAGACCUUGUAGAUCAGCGGAACAGGACAGAAAGCCCAGAAACAAACUCGUGAUUAUAUGGUCAGUUAAUCUUUGACAAAAGAGGCAAGAAUACACAAUGGGGAAAAGACAGCCAGUUCCUUCUUGAUUCCUGCCCUGGAGAGCUGGGCACGCGGGCUGCAGCGGCGCCUGCUCGUGUGUUGCAGACGGCUCCACCUGCACCAUGUCCGAGUGGAUCACCUGGUCGCCCUGCAGCAUCUCCUGUGGCAUGGGCAUGCGGUCCCGGGAGAGGUAUGUGAAGCAGUUCCCUGAGGACGGCUCUGUGUGCACGCUGCCCACUGAGGAGACGGAGAAGUGCACGGUCAAUGAGGAGUGCUGUGAGUAGGGGUGCCCAGCCAGCAGGGGCUAGGGGAGGAGAGGGGGUGCUCCCAAGGCGGCAGCCGUGACCCCAACAGGGCUGGCCUCCCAGCUCCCAGCAGCUGCCUGAUGACCGAGUGGGGCGAGUGGGAUGACUGCAGCGCCACCUGCGGGAUGGGCAUGAAGAAGCGGCAUCGCAUGGUCAAGAUGAGCCCGGCGGACGGCUCCGCGUGCAAAGCCGAGACCUCCCAGGCGGAGAAGUGCAUGAUGCCCGAGUGUCGUGAGUGGCCGUGGGGCAGGGGAUGGGGGCGGUGUGCCGGAACACAGAACCCCUGCCGCUACCACCAGCAAGGCCGGAGGCUGGGCGCGUGCUGGGAGAACAUACGGCCCACUGUCCUUGCAAGAGCCAUCAAGUGGGGCUUCCCUUGAGGGACAUUCUGAGCGAGGCUGGGAUGGCAAACUGGCGACCUCUGGAAAGCACUCGUCAGCAGCUGUGUUUUAUAGGACCCCAGAGUAUCCUGGUGGGAGGCGGGUGAUAUUGUAAUACAUUCAGGCAGGACAUCCACCCCAGGUCAUAGGCCCCCACUCUUGUUCUGCUCUGGACAUGCCUGGCCCCAUAAAGCAUUACAACCCCAGCUCUACCCACAAAUGCACACAGACCCACACAUUAGUACACAUGCGCACACAUGCACACGAGUAGAGGUCACCCUAGGGAUUUUAGCAACAAAGUGUCCAAAAAUGUACUGCAUGGUCUUGGGGGAGUGUGGGGGUGUUGCAGGCGGGGACUUGUGUAUUCCUAUUGCUGAGCUACAUCAUCAGCGGGGGGGGGAGAUACAGGAGAGUGACAGAAGGGCAGGAAGGGCAGUAGUCUGCUGAGCCACUUCUUGCUCCACAGGGUCACUUGGGUCACCUGAAGGCCGUCGGUCCAUGGCACUCAACUCCAGGGGUCAGAGUGGGGAACAGAGGGUAGGGGACACAGGGAAAUCAAAGAAAGUAAAGGGAGCCUGUUCUCAGUGGCAAACCUGGCUCUUGGCCUAGACACCAUCCCCUGCUUGCUAUCCCCGUGGUCCGAGUGGAGUGACUGCAGCGUGACCUGCGGGAAGGGCAUGCGGACCCGCCAGCGGAUGCUCAAGUCUCUGGCGGAACUCGGGGACUGUAACGAGGAGCUGGAGCAGGUGGAGAAGUGCAUGCUGCCCGAAUGCCGUAAGUCCUGCAGCCCAGCCGCCUGCUGGGGACAAAGAGCACAGGCUUUGGGUCUCUAUGUUAGCACAGAUCUUUAACCUUCAGUCUCCUCACUAGCAAGAGGGGGUCCUGCUCCCAGCUACACGACACCCAAACUGCACGUUGCUAUGAAGUCUAAAGAGGAGACGGAGAUGGGAAACACAUAGCACAGGCUCCUUGUCAAGGAGCCUCAUUAUGUGGCUCUUGCCCUCCCCACCUCCACAACUCUCUGAUCCAUGGGCUUUCCAACCUUUUUAUUUCUAUUCCUUUUCCCAGUGACCAUUUGCCCACGACUAGAGGGUGGACGUGAAGUCAGUAACUUCUGUACUUUUGCAGCCUUGCUAAGACCAGCAACGAAAAGCUCAAUGCCCACCCCCACCUCUUCCAAAACCUCUUUGAUCACCUGCAUUUCUCGGGUGCUGAUCUCCAAGGAGAGGGAGGGAGCCCAUUUUUCUGGCUAAUCUUCGAAGAGAGCUUCUCUUUUAGGAAGUAGAAAGUCAGACAGGCUUGCUAGGAUGGGUUUUUUUGGCUUCCUCUGAGAGGAAGGUCCCAGCUUUGUCCCUUACGCAGAUGACCACACCCCUGCUCAACUGUAAAAUAGCAAGAAACAUUUCCUAGGUUCCUCUGAGGAUUAAACCACAUAACUGGUACAAAGUGCCAAACACUAGACCUGGCAGGUGUGUUACACUCAGUGUUACAUAUUACAGUUCCCGAGCUGUUUUAGCUACAUGUGGUCAUGUGUGGAGAUGACCGAGACCAUCAAACUGAGGCUGAGGCUUUAGAUAACUAAGGUUGACCCUGUGUUCAACCCAUCUCACCAAGAGUGGGGGCUCCAGAACCUCUGACUGAGACACCCACUGAAACAUAUAUUCACAGGAUUCACUGAAUGGAGAACAACGCUUCCUGUGCGCCAGGAACUGAGCUGGGAAGAUUUCAUUUAGUCUUCACAACUAAUGAGAAAAAUACCAUUAUACUCAUUUUAUACAUAAGCUGCCUGAGCUCACAGGGAGAAAGGCCAAAAAUUACUGACCCAAAUGAGUUCUUCCUAGAUCUACAUUCUGCAGACCCAGUGAGGAGUCCAGAAUCCUUUCCCUCCUUAGGUCACAUUCUCAGAAUCAGACCGUUGCGUUAUUUUCCCUCUACUUUGUGAGGUGUUGGCUUAAUAAGAAUUUGCUGGAUCCUAUACCCUGAUAGACCAUUAAGACCCCCACUUGUCCCCACCCCUCUUCUCUAAUGAAUUUUCUGUUUCUGGCUCCUGCGAUUUUUGCACAAACUGCCAUCUAUAGGACCCGGGGAGAUGUUGAACGAGAAGCUACCAGAGUCUUACUGCAAAAGUCACAGUGGCCUUGGGUAUUGGUCCACAGGGGUCAGCUCUGAAAAAUACCCAGUCCUUGGGACUGUGGAAGAUGGCUCUAUGCCACUUAGGGCUGAUUUGACAAUACUCUAGCUGCUCACAGGGAAGGGUGAGAGACUCUGAACAUAUCUUCCAAAUUCCUCGAGUCAUUUGGGCACAGAAGGUGGGUUAUGACCUGGGCACCAACCCUGUGGGCUGAAGUCAAUCUGCAUGUAGGAACCUCCCAGUUUCUUCUGUAAAAUGGGAAAACAGCACCUUCUCUGCAUCUCUCAGACUUGUGUGGAGGUGUUCAGAGGAAAACGCAAGUGGCCAUAUGCUGUUUCAGACAUGAGAUCCACUCCUGCCCAUCUGUGUCUUGCCAGCCAUUGACUGUGAGCUCACCGAGUGGUCUCAGUGGUCGGAAUGUAACAAGUCCUGUGGGAAAGGCCACAUGAUUCGAACCCGGAUGAUCCAAAUGGAGCCACAGUUUGGAGGUGCACCCUGCCCAGAGACCGUGCAACGAAAAAAAUGCCGUAUCCGGAAAUGCCUGAGAAAUCCAUCCAUCCAGAAGCUGCGCUGGAGAGAGGCCCGAGAGAGCCGGCGGAAUGAGCAGCUGAGGGAAGAGUCUGGAGGCGAGCAAUUCCCAGGUACUGCUCCCAAGCCUGAAGCUGGAGUUGGGGGGGGGAGGAAUGUCAAAACAGGGGAAGUGGGUCUUGAAAAUUGAUAGGGGUUUGCGAGUUGAAGGCAUCCCCAGCAGCAGGGACAGGGCUCGCCACGGCACAGAAAUGCCACAGAGUGUAAGAUGGUCAAUAAAUAGGGGGCAGAUGCAGCAGAGUACAAGGGGAGAGGCAGGAAACCUGGAGACGUGAGGACCAGACCAUAAGCCUGCUGAGGUUUUGAGACUUGAUCCUGUGAGAAGUUCUAAGCAGGAGUGACUUAACACACCUGUGUUGAGGUGGCAAAAACAGAGGCCACUUCUGUUUGUAGCCCAGGAAAAAGAGUGUGUCCCCUACUCUGGCACUAAAAAAACAACAAAAACCUGGAGCUUCACUGUUGAAUAAGCUGGUCCACAAGCAAAGACUACAAUGUCAUUAUUUCAUACUUUUGCCAGUGACAGAUUCAUGGUUCAGCCUUUGGUACAGACUGAUUGAUGGUGUUUGGAUUCUCUGGAGUGGGUGAGAAAGGUGUCAUGUUUGAAGGUUAAUAGGUACACUGUGUUGCUAUUUUAAAAGGCACAGCUCAAUUUACCCCACAUUCUCUUCCCUAAGGCCUUUCACCCUGACAGGACAGAGAAAUACAGAUCUGAAGAGCCACCUGAUCGUUCACUGUCCGUUAAGGAGAGGUGUGCAUAUCAAAGUGCUAUCUGUUGGGACAGGGUAGUCAGCCAUUCAAGAAAUGGUGAUUAAGCCCAACUAUGUGCCAGGCAGACACUGUGCCAUGGCCUUCUCCUCCAUAAAACUUAGCAUAGUAAACGUGCCUGGUUGUACAAGAGUAAUGUGGAGGAUCUUGAAAACAUUUUUUGAAAAGAUCUCCUCUAACCUGAGUCAGGUUAAGUUUUAAGGCAAGCAUGUUUAUCUGUGUAGGGAAAUUAAUCACACUUGAAUGUAUUUAGGAGACCACGUACCUGGGGAGCAAAGCAUUAGGAUAAAGUGGUUUAAUUGCUCGAGUGCUAACUGCCAUCACCAAGCCACCCCAAAACUACUAGGAUUCUGCAGGUCCGUGGCAGGAGCUGGCUCAGCUAGGUGGGUCUUCUGAGGUCUUGCUGAGACUCCUGUAGCUCCUGACAACUGGAGGCUCGGCUGGGGCUAGAAGGUCUAGACCGGCCUCACCUGCACUUCUGGGGCCUCAGAAAGACUGGCUGGACUCUCUCGCCACACGUUCUCUCCAGCAGUCUAGCCAAGCUUGCUGACAUGGUGGGGGCGGGGGGUUUCCUACCAGCCUUUUCCAGCCUGCUUGCUCAUGUCCCAUUGGCCAAAGCAAGUCAAACAGCCAAGCCCAGAUUCCAGAGGUGGCAAUGUGGACUCUGCCCCUUGAUGGGAAAUGCUGCAACAGCAUUAUGGACACAUAGGGGUUGACAGUCUCUAAUGAGGGCCCUAACCAUUAUUAAACUCAACCCAUCAUUCCAUACAAGAGCAGGGAAGCCCAGACAACUCCGUUUCAUAGCUGUGACCUGGAGUUCAGCAUUCAGUUUGGUCCCGCCAUUUCUGCUGGCCUAACCUGACCUCCUGCUUCCAGGCUGCAGGAUGCGCCCGUGGACAGCCUGGUCGGAAUGCACCAAACUGUGCGGUGGUGGGAUCCAGGAACGCUACAUGACCGUCAAGAAGAGGUUCAAAAGCUCCCAGUUUACCAGCUGCAAGGACAAGAAGGAGAUCAGAGCGUGCAAUGUUCACCCUUGUUAACAAGGGUGUAAGUUUUCCGGGGCUGCACCCUGGCUUGCACAGUCAUCGAUGGCUGGAGUGUGUGUUUGCUUGUUGUUUAAGGCAAUUUAAAUUGUAUACAUUAGUUUUCAUUUCUGCAGUGUGGUUCGCCCACCAGUCUUGUUGAUGCCAGGGACUUCCUUUCUGUCUGCUUCUUGGUAUGCAGAGGCUGCGUGGGGCUCCCUCAUCCCCAGAUGGCCCUCCUCCAGCACAGAAGUGAGUAGUGUCAGCUACCUGUACUGGAUGGACAUGUGUCCCUCUGGAGCACCCACCUGGGCAGCCGAUACAAGCCUGGCCCCCUCCACAGGGAGCGGCAGCCAGGUGUGAAAGGGAUUUCCAUGCCUCGGUCCCAGGGUGCAGUGGGGAGGAAACAGUCCUGCUCACACGGAGAGCGCAGAUUCCCCUCACUCUUGUCUUUGGCCUGCUUGCUCUUGUAGGAACCUCGUUUGCCCAUCUCUUUUCAUUUAGUGGAAUUUAGGGUCCCUUGUUGAGUCUCCUCCGUCAUCAACAGUUAUUGGGGAACAAAGAGGUGGUAGAUGUGAAGUGCAUUGAUGUAGAGUGGCUUUUCUUUCAGAAAUGUAUCUCCCCUCCUAAUAUUGGUUCCUGAUACCCCAGAGAAAAGAAACUUUGGCUGCUUUAUUGGAAUUUAAGGUUGCCACUUCUUACACCUGAGGUAAAAGGUACUAAGUCUAGAAAGUACCUUUCCCUAGCUUUUUUUUUGGGGGGGGGGCACAAUUCUCCUAAGGACGCCAGCCUUAUAAACUUAUAAACCUUCUGACAUUACAUCCUUACUAGGACCCAGGCAGCAAAACUGGCCUCUCUAGAGGAGUCCCAAACCUACGCUUUUAAAAUCUUCUGACACGCAUCUAGAAUUUAAGUUUUCAAACCAGUUCUACCAAAAUAUCUUUUAGUUAUACAUCAGCUGCCUGCAUCCCACCAAGCCAUUGCUUCAACAAAAAAUACUAUCUUUGUACGUUAAAAGGUGUUUUUUUUCUUUUUUAGUCCUAAAGUUUUAUAUGUAGAAAGAAAAAGUGUUUCAGAGACCAAGAAAGAAAGCUAGGGAGAAAGGUAUUAUUACAGAAUCAGGCUGGGUAAGAAUAUCUGGUGGGAAGCCAAAUUCACCUCAGCUUUCCACAGUGGGGCUCUGGGCCCUCCAUCACCUGCAUAGGAAAGGCCACGGUUUUCCAUCCCCUUCCAAGCACUCAUACGCACCAAAUUCAGGGAUUCUGACUACCAGGAAUUCGUGUAAAAGGACAUUUUACUGAGCUGAGUCUAGCAGCAGUUUUUACUUAUUCAUUUAUUGUUAAAACUGUUUCAUUUCUGUUGCAGGUUUUCAUUAUGCUUAAUCCAAAUAUGUAUCCCGGAUGAGAUGCAUACGUGGUUUUGAAUACACUACUUUAAGAAUUUGCAUUAAACCCAUCAGGAUGUCUCCAAACACAACAUACAUAUGAUAUAGCCCUGAAUCUGUAUUUUCUUUAACAUCAAAGACCGUUCAAUAAAAAAAAACUCAUUUGGGUCUGUCUGCUGUGUUUUUAAACUAAGUGUUCAGGAGGUUGGGACUUCUUGCAGUUAUCUGCCUGAAUCAUAUGCAGCAAAAAGACAGGGUUUCUGGUCCCUCAUUCAAGAGGGGCCAUUAUUACCAACCAACACAGCCCUGAGUCUUCUGGAACUUUCAGUUUCCAGUAUUAUUUUUGUGAUCCUUAAAUGGACUGCUUUCUCACCUCACGAAGGAGUGUAACAUAAGGAAAUAAGAGGUUUCAUUUGGACAAAAAGUCUUGAUACAGAACCCGCCUGCUUAUGUAUUCCUCUCAGCCACCUGGAGGCAGAUAUCCACCCCAUGAAAAUCAAAGGUCAAGUCAGUGAUUCCUAAGUAAGUAAGGACAAGCCACCCUAGUGUCCCAUGUUCUUAUCAGGUCUCUAUUGGAUACAUUUUUAAUAUUAAUUUUGGAGACUUAAAACCAAGUAACUGAAUAAGGGCUAAGAAUGGGUAACAUGCGUCUUGUUAUGUGUUAUUUCUUUUGGUUGCAAGGAAUUUAUAGGAAGCAUCAAAUCUCUUUCUUACCAGAGUCUUGGGUUAGGUAGUUUAUAGUUUUUCUGGCUAGGCAGUCAUUUUGGAAAUAAAGACUUUACUAUAAAAAUGAAAUUGUUUCAACUUCCACUUGGGAUAAUAAACAGAUGAGACACCCAGUAAAAACCGCCAUAUAAAGA
rnacentral:lncRNA from 1 species